rnacentral:rRNA from 1 species
UACGGAGGGGGCUAGCGUUGUUCGGAAUUACUGGGCGUAAAGCGCACGUAGGCGGCUUGGUAAGUUAGAGGUGAAAGCCCGGAGCUCAACUCCGGAAUUGCCUUUAAGACUGCCGAGCUAGCAGGUGAGAGAGGUGAGUGGAAUUCCGAGUGUAGAGGUGGAAUUCGUAGAUAUUCGGAAGAACACCAGUGGCGAAGGCGGCUCACUGGCUCAUACUGGACGCUGAGGUGCGAAAGCGUGGGGAGCGAACAGG